rnacentral:rRNA from 1 species
AAAAACAUGGCUUAUUUGAUAAAAAUAAUAGGUCUAUUCUGCCCAUUGAUUAAAAUUAAAAGGCUGCAGUAUAUUGACUGUACAAAGGUAGCAAAAUCAUUUGUUUUUUAAUUGAAAACUGGAAUGAAAGAGUGGAUGAAAUAUAAAUUGUCUCAAUAUAAAAAUAUUGAAUUUAAAUUAAAAGUUAAAAUGCUUUUAUAUAUUUAUAAGACGAUAAGACCCUAUAGAAUUUAAUAAUGUUUAUUUUUUAAAAUUAAUAUAUUAAUAAAAUUUAAUAGAUAAAUAUAUUUUAUUGGGAGGAUAGUUAAAUAAAUUAAACUUUAAUAUUAUUGUAACAUAGAUUAAUGAAUUAAUUGAUUAUUUUUAUAAUUAUUAGAAUAAAUUACCUUAGGGAUAACAGCGUUAUAAUUUUGGAGAGUUCAUAUUGAUAAAAUUGUUUGCGACCUCGAUGUUGAAUUAUGAUAAAAGUUAAGUGGAGAAAUUUAAAUUUUUAGUCUGUUCGACUAUUAAAAUCAUACAUGAUUUGAGUUCAGAUCGGUGAAA